rnacentral:rRNA from 1 species
AUUGAACGCUGGCGGCAGGCCUAACACAUGCAAGUCGAGCGAGCGGCGGACGGGUGAGUCAUGUAUGGGGAUCUGCCCGAUAGCGGGGGAUAACUACUGGCAACGUUUGCUACUACCGCAUACUAGCGGAUGAACCCCUAUGGGAUUCGCUAGUAGGUGGGGUAAAGGCUCACCUAGGCGACGCUCUCUAGCUUGUCUGAGAGGAUGAUCAGCCAAACUGGGACUGAGACACGGCCCAGACUCCUAAGGCAGGCAGCAGUGGGGAAUAUGGCACAAUGGGCGCAAGCCGGAUGUAGCCAUGCCGCGUGUAUGAAGAAGGCCUUAGGGGUGUAAAGUAAUUUCAGCGGGGAGGCGUUACCCGCAGAAGAAGCACCGGCUAACUCCGUGCCAGCAGCCGCGGUAAUUC